ensembl:lincRNA Lncpint long non-protein coding RNA, Trp53 induced transcript
AGCAUUAGGGGAGCCCACGGCUACAAAACAAGUGAGAAGAGGUGGGAGAAAGAGAAACUACGCCACCUCCUCUGCAGCCGAGCGCACGCAGCAGCCUGGCGUGACAAGUGGGCGACGCCAGGGACAGAGAGUGGGGGUCCUCCGCCCGCUCCGGGGACCCUGUCGCCCACCGUGGUGCGCUGAGCAACUUUUAGCCGGCAGCCCCGCACCUGUCUCAGAGUCCCCAUCGCUCCCCACCAACCAUCAUGGGAAAAUUCUAGAAGAAUACGCUCUCGGAAUCUACGUGCGCAUCAUUUUCCUCCUCACUCCAGAGGAAGGAACCAGAAAAGAGAGCAAAGCGGUGUAGUGUUCAGCCUCAAGAACCCCCGUGCAUCCCAGGGAUGGCGCCCUCUACAGGAGGGUCCUUGCCUCACUUUCGGGAGUCUCUUAACUGCAUCUCGUUGAUUCCUAGCGUUAGAAGAACUGAGCUAACAGGAGUCUGCCACCUCUCUGCCUUGCUGAUGCACCCAGGCAGGGCUCACUGGUUUGCAGGAGUACAUGACCACAGAUCAGAGCCAUUGCAGGCUGCACAGAUACCUGACUCUGGGCUCUCAGGAAGACUCAGGCAGAGAUGGGGAGUCGGCCUGCAAGCUGGGACGCUAGAGCUCACGUGCAGUUCUCCAUUUAGCUAGGAGGUUUCCAGGGCAACCACCGAAGCAGUAAUUAAAGAUGAAGAGCUAAAAGGUAAGUACUUCCAAACCUGAAUCCUGAAGGAGGUGGUCCGCAGGCUGGUGUCACAGUGUGCACUCUUAUUCACUUAACAUUAAGUAAAUAAUUUUUUAAAUACAUUUUUGAAAACCUCUGAUGAGAGGAUACACACUAAAUUAGGAUGUUCAUGCUCUGCUUUGAUUUGUAUCUUUUCACGCGCGCACGUAUUCUUGUAUGUACGUACACACCACACACACACACACACAUUUUUAUGCUUCCACCAGCCAGUCAUGGGACCAGGCAUUGGGAUACCAGGGCUUAAGGUGUCUUUCGGGUUCCUGUUUUGAACGUCCUAGCAUGCAUGUAUAUAUAUAUACAUACAUACAUAUAUAUAUAUACACAUUUAAGGCAUGCAAACGAGCAACUGCAGAGGCGUCUACAGUACUUAGCGUGUAGCAGGAACAUCCAGGCUCUCCAGGCAGUUCACGGGUGCUUACACAGCCUGACGAGGUGCUCGCCGUGCCGCCAUCCUUUCCUUGAGCGAACUGUACCCUGGGUUAUGAACCUUGUUUGCCUGAUAGUUCAGGGCAUCAGUGCAGUAACAGGGCUGAUGAGAGAGAGCUCCACCAAAGCAGCAGCGCCAUUGAGAAGGUAGAAGACAGCUAUUUUAACGGAAGCUUCAGAAGCUCAUGAGUCUAUUCCCAGGAGUAUGGGUAAAGUUUGCUCAUGCAAAUGCUGCAUUUCAUGAGUCCAUGGGUUAAAGCAGUUACGGACCCUGGAAGAUGGGAGAUACUUACAAAAAGCAAAGCCCAGAUCUCCACACCUUCAAAGAGAAGAUGCUCAAAUCUCCAAUUUUCAGACCAGUGCUUUUUUCAGUUAUGCACUGGUAUAUGGCUGAAACUGUAGGUGGCAUGGGAGACUUUGGUAAGUGUAGGCCCUAGGAUAUCUGUCCCACCAUUUUCCCUGUAACAAAAGUAAGGAAUCUGUAA